UACAGACAGAAACAGACCAUAACGAAAAGACGACUUGCGCUUUAGUCAAAACCAGCGAUGCUUUACAAGUGAAGAAAACCGUGACUUUUGCGUUAAACUUUAUCUGCGUCCACGAGAUUCCUCCAGACGAUGAUGAGAUUUACUGUGACAUCACUUCCCCUCAGAAGCCCAAAGCGCUCAGUCUAGACCAGUACCGUCUCCUCAGACAGAAGAAGCCAGCUCUGGAGGAGAAACCAAUGGACUUUCGAACCAAAUGGCCUUCGCUUCACCAGCUUCCCAAGCCGAAGCUGGAUCCACACACAUGUCCAUCGCAGUCGCUGGGAAUCUCUCGUCUCUCUCAGAAAGAUGCAAACACGGCUGUAGGUCUUUGCAUUGACCCUCCAAACCCGGUUUUAGUGCCCUUGAAACCCACCCGACAGCCCAUAAUCUCAGCCGCAGAACCAGACGCUGGUGUUUCUUGUGAAGAGGUUCGAGUCUCUGAGGACGAACCCGAAGCUUCAGGAAGGAGACGGAAGCAGACGACGUGUGGAGCAAUCGGGAUUGAAGCGGCUGAUCUGACCAGUCUUCUGGAGCAGUUCGGGACUCAAGGACUGACUCAACAUCAGAUCUAGAGACCGCUGGCGUCGCUCAAAGACACCAAACCUGAAUCCAGCAAACCCAUCCAGAUAAUCGAACCUCGCCCACUUUUUAUAAUUUUUUUUUUUAGUUAUUUUAUAUGAAUAUACUUUAUGAAAAAUAUUUAACUUUUAUAUAUAUAUAUAUAUAUAUAUAUAUAUAUAUAUAUAUAUAUAUAUAUAUAUAUAUAGAAAUACUAUUUUUAAAUACUCUUAUUUUUUGUUUUUAAAUAUUACAAUACUAAUAUUUCUUAUUUGAUCUAUUUAGUAAUUAGUUUUUAUUUACUAGUAGUAAUAAUAAGAAAUAUAUUAUUUUAUAGCUAUAUUGUAUUUUUUGCCUUAAAAAUAGCCUUUGAUGGCGACAUGGCAUUAAAUAAAAAUCUAUAUAUAUAUAUAUAUAUAUAUAUAUAUAUAUAUAUAUAUAUAUAUAUAUAUAUAUAUAUAUAGACAAUCACAUGCUGCACAGAAGAGCUGCGCUUGAACUUGAUCUGGAAAAGCUGUUUUGUUGUUGUUUAUUUUUCUGACUUCACUAAACUGGCUUUGCUUUCAGCUCUCUAUUACUUGACACUUAAAACCCUACUUUUUCCUCAUUAAAUGUUGUACAUAAGAAUGAAAUGGCAUGAAAGGAUGAAAUCAUCAUUAUGAAAGCAAAUAUAACAUGCAUAUAUAUUUAUAUAUGAAAACACAUUCCCUUUGUUUAUAACUGAAUAAAAAGGUUUAUGUGCUAAUGAAUGGUUUAUGUUCUGUUACACUGAACUCAAAACACUGUAAAUUUAAUCAUGUAUUAUAUAUGUCAAAAUAAAAGAUGUUAGAACAAACGUAAUAAUUAAAACAUUUGACAGAAUGGGUUGUAAUUCUAAUAUGUGUAGUGUUUGUGGUUAGUGGGUGGUGUUAAUAUUAAUGUUUGGAUCGUCUAGUUCCACAAUAAUCACCAAAUGUGAAGUGAAAUAAAGUUGUUGCAGAUUAAUCAUCAGAGAAUUCAUCGAAUAUCCGCAGAUCGUACUCACGGAUCGUUUUCCCGCUUAAAACGAUGUCACGUGACGGAGGGCGACGUCAUUAAGCAACGGAAAAACUUGUAGAUUAAUUACCAUUUAAAACGAUAUUCCACCAAAAACAUGUCUAGCUUGAAAGAUUAUUUGGAAGAAAUGAAGAAUCAACGACUUUCUUAAUGAUUAUUGGUUUGUUAUUGUAGAAGUUCGUCACGUUUGGCAAACCAAUGUUUAAGUUCCUUUAUGUUCACUUCAGCGUUAUUUUCAAACAUUUCAAAGGCACAUUUGACAACUGUUCAUGCAAUUAUAAUAUAGUUUGAAAUGUAGUGACGUUUGUUAACAUUCAGAUUGUUUAAUCGUAGAUUUACCUUAAACAGCUGUAGAGUUGACGGUUUGACGAGCAGAAAUUGGGCGGAGCCACGCGCAGAAAGUAGGCGGGGUUUAUUUGACAGCUGUUGAAGCGCGCAUGCGCGACGGGGUGACCACGAGUUCAAUAAGGAAGCAGAGAGAUAAUAAACAUGAACAUUAUUUUAAAAGCGGUGUCAGUUCAGUGUCGGCAGAUGCACAGACCUCGGUUCAGAUCCAUUCAAGAGCACAGAGAGCGAUCAUCUACAUGCUCGUGACAGUCCCCUGAUCUUUAGAU
ensembl:lncRNA